AUUGAACGCUGGCGGCAUGCUUUACACAUGCAAGUCGAACGGUAACAGGCCGCAAGGUGCUGACGAGUGGCGAACGGGUGAGUAAUGCAUCGGAACGUGCCCAGUCGUGGGGGAUAACUACUCGAAAGAGUAGCUAAUACCGCAUACGAUCUAUGGAUGAAAGCGGGGGACCGUAAGGCCUCGCGCGAUUGGAGCGGCCGAUGUCAGAUUAGGUAGUUGGUGGGGUAAAGGCUCACCAAGCCAACGACCUGUAGCUGGGCUGAGAGGAGAACCAGCCACCUUGGGACUGAGACACGGCCCAGACUCCUACGGGAGGCAGCAGUGGGGAAUUUUGGACAAUGGGCGCAAGCCUGAUCCAGCAAUGCCGCGUGCAGGAAGAAGGCCUUCGGGUUGUAAACUGCUUUUGUACGGAACGAAACGGCUCUGGUUAAUACCCGGGGCUAAUGACGGUACCGUAAGAAUAAGCACCGGCUAACUACGUG
rnacentral:rRNA from 1 species